AGUGGAUUCACGCAAGAACAGCAGGAACGUAGUCUGUUUUCUCAAAGGUUAUUUAAGCAGCAAGUAGAAUUUCCGCGCUCUGUCGUAGGGUUUAAAGAUUAGCGGGAUACGUUUACACAUUAAGAAAAAAAGAAAAUAUAUUGCUAGUUAGCUAUGUCUCGUGACCGUUUCAGGAAUCGCGGAGGAUUUCAGCAGCGAGGCCGAGGAGGCGGCGGAGGAAUGCGGGGCGGAAUGGGAACACCAAAUUUUAGAAAUACUCCACAGCAUUCAUUUCAAAACCGCGGCCCACAGCCUGGUGGUGGUUUUAAGCCCAAUCAAGGAAAUCAAGCAAACCAAGUCAUCCUGCAGAAACCAGAGGGAUCUAAUGUUACCGUCAAGCCCGAUAUAAAGUCUCCUCCGCCGACGCCACAGCAGCAGCCUGAUGCACAGAACAAGGCACCGGCCCAACAGCAGCAAGUACAGCCGCCUCCGACCCCACAACCACCGAUUCAGUCACCUCCGCCGAAAAACAUCAAUACCAAACCAGAACCCACAACUCCACAAAAUCAACCCCGAAAAAAUCAGCAAAAGACACCAGUCAGUGGAAAUGGCCAAAAGCCUCCUAACAAUGACGGCCAGACAUCGCGUGCAGCUGAUACCUCCGGAUCGCAGGAAUUAAAGGCUUCGUUCUCGAUGCUGCGCAAACCCGGGGAGAAAACCUACACUCAGCGAUGCCGGCUGUUCAUCGGCAAUUUGCCCAACGACAUUACCGACGCUGAGUUCAGAAAACUGUUUGCCAAGUAUGGCGAGCCCAGUGAAAUCUUCAUUAAUCAAGGCAAAGGUUUUGGCUUCAUAAGGCUGGAGUCACGUGCUUUGGCGGAACUUGCAAAGGCUGAAUUGGAUGAUAAGCCCAUGAAAGGCAGGCCGCUCAGGGUUCGCUUUGCUACCCAUUCGGCUGCAUUAUCCAUCCGUAAUCUGUCCCCGUAUGUCUCCAAUGAGCUCCUCGAGGAGGCUUUCUCACAGUUUGGAGUGGUCGAAAGGGCAGUGGUUAUAGUAGAUGACCGCGGGCGCUCUGUUGGAAAAGGCAUCGUUGAGUUUGCAACCAAGCCGGCAGCUCGAAAAGCUCUGGAUCGUUGCAGCGAUGGAGUCUUCCUACUCACGGCCUCACCUCGUCCGGUUGUUGUUGAGUUGAUGGAACAGUUUGAUGAUGAAGAUGGUCUGCCAGAGAAGCUUGCCCAGAAGAACCCAAAUUAUCAGAAAGAGCGAGAGCAGCCCCCACGUUUCGCUAGACCAGGCACCUUCGAGUUUGAAUACUCACAGCGAUGGAAGUCUCUCGAUGACAUGGAGAAACAGCAAAGGCAGCAGGUGGAGAAAAAUAUUAACGAGGCCCGUGAGAAGCUGGAGGCAGAAAUGGAUGACGCUUACCAUGAGCACCAAGCUAACCUGCUUCGUCAGGAUCUUCUUAGACGACAAGAGGAACUGCGUCGCAUGGAAGAGAUGCACAAUCAGGAAAUGCAAAAACGCAAAGAGAUGCAGCUUAGGCAAGAGGAGGAGCGCCGCAGACGGGAGGAGGAAAUGAUGCGGCAGAGAGAAAUGGAAGAACAGAUGAGGCGCAAGCGUGAGGAGUCGUACAGAAUGGGUGGUUUUAUGGACAAUAGGGAAAGGGAGAUGAGGAUGAGUGCUGGAGGAGGUCUUGGAUUGGCAGAUAUGCCAUUUGGGUCGAACAACCAGAGGUUCCCAUUGGCCAGAAUGGGCUUUGACGGUCACCAGGGACUAGGCGGACCAGUGGCAGGGGGCAUGGUGCCCAACGAAAUGGGGCCUCGGGCAACUGAUGGAGGCUGAGUCACACACCUUCAGAAAUAUGGUCAUUGGUUAAGUGAAAUCUAUGAUCCAGUACAUGUUGAACAGUGCUGUGGAAUACGAGCAACAUCCCAGCAGAUCUUCAAGUUGCACUCGUGAGUGGCAUUUCAGGGGGAAAAUGUUCUCAAAAUAUCCAGAGGGAAAGUGACCAAAUUGACUAGACAGCUGGAGGUUAUGAAGUUCAGCGCAUGGAUUCAUUGGCAAAUUCAUCUGGGUUUCAUGUGUGUUCCUGUUGAAUAAUCUGAAAAGCAAAAUUUAAGUUCCAGUACAGAGACUGACCUUUUGCAUCUUAUAUCCCUGGAGUGUUGCAUUCAGACGAUUAAAUUCAGGGGUGUGUGUUUCACUUAGUUUAUCACUGUCGCAACUCAUUGGCCUGUUAAUAGCGGCUCUGGUUCAGGGCGGAAGUCUGCAAGCUGAUCUCAUGCAACAGAAGUGGCUCUGAAUGGAUCUGUGUUUCCGACUGGCCAACAUUGUACACCAUCAGUGAAUAAUAAAAUAUUUGUGAACCA